rnacentral:rRNA from 1 species
UACGUAGGCAGCGAGCGUUGUUCGGAAUUACUGGGCGUAAAGAGUGUGUAGGCGGUGCUCUAAGUUCGGUGUGAAAUCUCCCGGCUUAACUGGGAGGGUGCGCCGAAUACUGAGGAGCUAGAGUGCGGGAGAGGAAAGUGGAAUUCCUGGUGUAGCGGUGAAAUGCGUAGAUAUCAGGAGGAACACCGGUGGUGUAGACGGCUUUCUGGACCGUAACUGACGCUGAGACACGAAAGCGUGGGUAGCAAACAGG